GAGACAUUAUCGAGCGAAUCCAAACGAACGAAAAAGUCUCCCCAACGUGCAUACCUUCCAUUUGCAUGUGUGUGAGCCACAUGGAAACUCGUACACACGUGGUGGCAGCCGUCUGCUGUGCUUUUUUUAGGCAGACAAUGGCUUACGAGUGGCCCGUGUGCUUGUUGAACAACGGUGACCAAUUUGGCGUCUACGCCGUAUCUAGCUUCUGCCUGGACCGUCAGUUGCGAUGAAAGAUGCGGAGAAAGUUCCUUUGUUUUGGCUGCUAAUCAUCAUUGAUGAGCAGUAGCUUAAGGCAGAGUUGAGCAGACUUAAUGAGCCACGCUAGGUGGCCGCCAAAACCCAAAACACAACCGGUCUAUUUGACAUUGUUAUUUCAUUGUAUGUGUUGAAAAUGUACAAAUCUUGGCGGUGGAUCACUCGGUUCGUGGAUCGAUGAAGAACGCAGCCAGCUGCGAUAAAUAGUGCGAAUUGCAGACACAUUGAGCACUAAGAAUUCGAACGCACAUUGCGCUAUCGGGUUCAUUCCCGAUGGCACGUCUGGCUGAGGGUCGAAUUACGGUGAACUGUCUUCACGGUUUUUCUGGACUGUGAAGCAUUCGGCAAGCAAUUGCUGUUGUGUUGUUGGUGAUUCUAUCAUGGACAAUAUGACGAGCGGUUCCUUGCUUAGUGAUGACAAAAGAAGACGUCAACACCGAAUCUACUAUACUACUAAUACUAGUAUAUAGGUGAGGUGCUUUUGGUGGUCACAAAAGUGACAAGUAUGCCAUUUCAUAGGGGCAACAACCAGCAUACGUGAUAAGUUGGCUGGUUGAUGAAACGGCAACGGAAUGACGGACGUCUAUGUGAUCAAAAAUGAUACUAUUGACCUCAGCUCAGUCGUGAUACCGCUGAUAUGC
rnacentral:sRNA from 1 species